UACAGAGGUCCCAAGCGUUGUUCGGAUUCACUGGGCGUAAAGGGUGCGUAGGUGGUGAGGUAAGUCGGAUGUGAAAUCUCGGAGCUCAACUCCGAAACUGCAUUGGAAACUACCUUGCUCGAGGGUUGGAGGGGGGACUGGAAUUCUCGGUGUAGCAGUGAAAUGCGUAGAUAUCAGAAGGAACGCCGGUGGCGAAAGCGACUCUCUGGCCCGAAUCUGACGCUGAAGCGCGAAAGCUUGGGUAGCAAACGGG
rnacentral:rRNA from 1 species